CGUGUAGGCGGUCUGGCAAGCGGCGUGUGAAAUCCCGGAGCUCAACUCCGGAACUGCACACCGAACUGCCGGUCUAGAGGACAGGAGGGGGAUGUGGAACUCUAGGUGUAGCGGUGAAAUGCGUAGAUAUCUAGAGGAACGCCGGUGGCGAAAGCGACAUCCUGGCCUGUAUCUGACGCUGAGGCGCGAAAGCGUGGGUAGCAAACAGGAUUAGAUACCCUGGUAGUCC
rnacentral:rRNA from 1 species